AUAUUUUAUUUUUAAUCUCUACACAUAACGUGGGACUCAAACUUACAACCCUGAGAUCAAGAGUCUCAUGCUCUACUGACUGACCCAGAUAGGCACUCCCAAAAUGACAUUUUUUUACAAAAGAAAAAAAAAGAAAAACCAGAAAUGCUGUUAUUUGCUUAUAGUAUUUUAGGUAUUUUAGCAUAAAGGUGAGAUAACUUUUCCUCCCCAAAUAUUUGUUGUUUGGGCUGUCACUGGUUACUAACUCUUAGAAAUAAAUUACUAUAAUUGGAGUCUUCAAUUUUUGAAUUGAAGGACUGCUAUAAUCUAUUCUUUCCCAUAAAUGAUAAGAUUUAGCAGACAUUAAAACUUUUUUCUGAUGAGGUAUUCAAACAUAUACAGAGUUUCCAAAUUGGAGUUGGCCAGUGAAGACAAUCUAUUGUGAUGGCUUGAAACAAAACAAAACACUAAAGACGAACUUGCACUGGUGUUAGAGCAAUUUGGCAUGGAUAUUGUGAUAUGUAGGUAAGAGAAAGACCAUCUGAAAUUCCAACUGAAAUAUAUUGUGAAUUAUUUUUUUUAAAGUCUUCUCUUGAAAAGGUGAGUUGUUUUGAAACACCUAAUUUAGAAAUACUAAGUAGAUCCCAGUUAUAUGAAUCCAAAGGAGAGACAAUAUUUAAGAUUCCAUCCUAAAACGUUUAUCUUUUCCAUUGUGGUAAAUGCCCACUAAAACAACUGAGAGGAGUAUUGUUUCAUUCUAGCAAAGGAAAUAACCUCACCUUCAUUUAGAAACUUCCAGAACCCGGGGCACCUGGGUGGCUCAGUCGGUUAAGUGUCCAACUUUGGCUCAGGUCAUGAUCUCACGGUUUGUGAGUUUGACCCCUGCAUUGGGGCUCUGUGCUGAUGUCUUGGAGCCUGGAGGCUGCUUUGGAUUCUGUCUCCCUCUCUCUCUGCCUCUCCCCUGCUCAUACUCUGUCUCUCAAGAAUAAAUAAAACAUUUAAAAAAAUUUAAUAAAAAAAGAAAUUUCCAGAGCCCAAAAAGAGCAGAGAAAUUAGGUAGAUCACCAGGUUUGCUCUGCCUGUACUGUGGUUACCUAAACCUUAAAAUAUUGUUGUCAUUAAAAUUUAGAGAAAGGUAAGCAAUGAAGGGAAAGUAAGAAAAGAAAAAGUUAAGAGAUUUGAAAUACUCCAUCCAUGGAACUAAUCAUGACAAAUUGUAAUAAAGAUCAUUUACUUAUCUCUGAUACUGGAAAAAAAAGUCAAAAACUAAAAUAUUUCAUGUGAACCAGAACAGCUUUCUACAAUUUAGGGAUAUUCUCUGUUGUAAUGUUUCUUUUUCCUACACUUGGAUUUAUAAAUUUCAUUUGCUAGCAUUCUUCUCAAAUAAGCACUUUAUAAGCUCAACUUUUUAGUUAAGAGCCUUUUGUGUAACUCACCUUGUGUUUUAUUAUUUUUUUUUUUAAUGUUUAUUAUUGAAGAGAUUGUGCACAUGCACAGGAGAGAGGCAGAGAGAGAGGGAGACCAAGGAUCUGAAGUGAGCUCUGCGCUGACAGCAGAGAGCCCCAUGCAGGGCUCGAACUCACGAACCAUGAGAUCAUGACCUGAGCUGAAGUCAGAUGUUUAGCUGACUGAGCCACUCAGGUGCCCCUCACCUUGUCUUGAAAGAAAGCAAAGAAAAUGGAAAUACGGUAGCAUGAAGGAAGGAAAGAGUGAAGAUAAUGAAGUACUGAAAUCUCGCACUAGAAAUCCCCUUAAAAAGGAGUUGCUCCAGUCCUCAUCAGCUACUGGGACGUGUCAAGCCAUAGAAAGUGAAGUUUCACAAACCAUCCUUCCCCAUAGACGAGUAAUAAAAUGGGAAGCUGUUAAACACAUAUCCAUCUUUCCAACAGUGUUGUCCUAAGUCCAGGAGGAAGCUUUCAAAACAGGAGCCUGGCCAAUUGCAAACCUUUCUCUGGACUUACUCUCCUCACCCCAGACCCAGCUACUAAGGAAGCCAGUUUUGGAACAUGGAAAGAUGGACUGGAUGCAGUUAGGAGCCCUGAUCUCAUCUUGAUGUCAGGUGUGUGAAAUCCAGCACAGUUCAGAGGGGCCUCAAGCUCUUGGGGCAGAGCCAGUAAGUGUUGCUCCAGACACGCCUUUGCAGGGCCCUCUCUCCUUGCUCAUAUAUAAUAUUUUCUCUUUUUGUAACUUGGCCUCAGUGAAAAAGAAUAUUUUUAGUAAGCUACUCAUUGUUUACUGAAAGCAGCCUUAAAAAGCCCAGGGCAAAGGCUCUGUUAAGUAAACCCAGAAGUGGAAGACAGAUUUGCCUCCUCUUAAUUGGGCACUGGAGCACUUGCCUUUAGAGGAAGUGAGUAAAGCAAACAUCACAGGAAUUAUGAGUGAUGUGCCUGAACACAGAUCUGUGCAGGGGUUUUGCUGGGCACAGAAACUCACUGACUGUACACCAAGUAUUCACCCAGUCUGUUAGACGACCAGAGGUUCAGAGAAAUUAAAAGUACUAAGAACCCAGAGCCAGGACUAGGGUGGAACAUGUGAGGCACUCACCUUGGGCACAACAUGUAAGUAAAUUUUAGCAAUCAAGAAAUAAUACUAUGGUGCAAUAGUUUAAAUAGACAAGAUCUGACAGGGCCAGAUUAGGGUAAGGUGGGUGAGGUGAGACAUGCAAGCACAGGGUCAGAUCUUGUGUUUAUUUAAAAUGAAAUCUGUUGAUUAGGGACUUUUUUUUUUUAAUGUUUAUUCAUGAGAGGGAGAGAGACAGAGCAUGAGCCGGGGAGGGGCAGAGAGAGGGAGACACAGAAUCUGAAGCAGGUUCCAGACUCUGAGCUGUCAACACAGAGCCCAAUGCGGGGCUCAAACUCACAAACCGUGAGAUCAUGACCUGAGCUGAAGUCAGAUGCUUAACCGACUGAGCCAUCCAGGUACUCCAAAUGGAGACUUUUUUUGCAUUAAUUUUGGUUUUUUAGAAAAUAUUACAUUAAAAUGGUCUUUAUCUUGAUUACUGAGUUUUUCGGCACCUCCCCUGCUGAAUUUUAUGCCUGUGGUGAGUGCCUCACUUGCCUCUCCCAAAUCUCAGCUCUGGACAUCAUCUCCUCACUGUGUAGGAAAUACUAAAGUAAACAAACAAACAGACAUGGCUUCUUCCCUCAAGGAAAUAAUGCAAUGUCUCCAAUUGCUUUGAAAAACAAAUGAAAGGAUUUAAGUAGAUUAUCUAAAAGCAUUGGUAAUAAUAUAAAUUAAUAAUCCACUUAUGUCAGAGUUUAUGCUUCUAGUAAUGGCAGGCUAGGUGGUUCAUGCCAACACCCUCACUGAAAACAACUGAAACGUCUGACUUAAAAAAAAAAAUAUAUAUAUAUAUAUAUA